rnacentral:lncRNA from 1 species
UGACCAGACUCCAUCCUAGUUUCUACAGUGGUCGAUCACCUUUCGAAUUUCAGCCAAACUUCUACCACAAGCAAUCUACUCCGAACUUCUACCAUAAGCAGUCCACUCCGAACUUCUACUAUAAGUGAAUUCCAUCCGAGCUCCUACUGUUAAUGAAUUCCUUUCAAACUUUAUUACAGGUGGAUUUCAGUCGAGCUUCUUCGAUAAGCAGUCUUCAUCCGGACUUCUACAAGAAUUGGACUCCGUCUGAACUUCCAUAGCGGAUGGAUUUCAGAUGAACAUAUACAACGGACGGGCUCCAGCAGCAGGAUUUCUACAACAACCGACCGCCUCCAGUAUCUUCCAUACCUCUCCAGCCAUCAACCUUCAAUAGCAUCAGUCGGACUUCAACAACAUCAGCCGAACUUCCACAGGAUCCUCCAGACUCCUCCAACAAAUGAACUUCCAUAACGCCAUCCGAAGUCCACUGUCGGUCGACCCUCUGUCAGAUUCCUCAUGAAAUUAGAUUUUUCCAACAGAAAAUCUCUAUCCAAGCUUCUACAGCAGAUGACUUCCACCUGCAGCAUCAGCGCCCAAUCAGCGCCCAAGGCACUCGACAACAGUGGAUUCGUUAGCAACCUCGAAAACAUCCGAGCUUCUCUUAGAUUGCAGGGAUAGAGAGCCAUUCCGCUCCAUCAGACGUCCCAACCGAACUUCAGCCGUCAGACCCGAACUCUCUGGCAAGUCACGACAAUGGCCACUACCCCACUCCACUCUUUGUAACGGAUUCCACGUAGCCCCAC